UACGUAGGGGGCAAGCGUUGUCCGGAAUCAUUGGGCGGAAAGCGCGCGUAGGCGGCCCGGUAAGUCCGUUGUGAAAGUCAAAGGCUCAACCUUUGAACGCCGAUGGAUACUGCCGGGCUAGAGUCCGGAAGAGGCGAGUGGAAUUCCUGGUGUAGCGGUGGAAUGCGCAGAUAUCAGGAGGAACACCAAUAGCGAAGGCAGCUCGCUGGGACGGUACUGACGCUGAGGCGCGAAAGCGUGGUGAGCGAACAGG
rnacentral:rRNA from 1 species